GACAGAGGGUGCAAACGUUGUUCGGAAUUACUGGGCGUAAAGCGAGUGUAGGCGGUUUGGUUAGUCGGAUGUGAAAGCCCCGGGCUCAACCCGGGAAGUGCAUUCGAUACUGCCAAGCUAGAGUAUCGGAGAGGAUCGCGGAAUUCGUCGGUGUAGAGGUGAAAUUCGUAGAUAUCGAGAGGAACGACCGGUGGCGAAGGCGGGUCUCUGGGCCGAUACUGACGCUGAGGAGCGAAAGCGUGGGGAGCAAACAGG
rnacentral:rRNA from 1 species